CAACGGAAUUAUUCAGUUAUCAAGAUGACUCCCGUUAAGAUUUUAACCGUUUUCUUAUAUUUUUACAUGGUUUUCUUAGCCGUUGUUAUGGCUAGGGAUAUUAAUAAGCGAUCAGUGGAUGUUGAUACUUCAAAUGUAGUGGUUGUUCCUUGCCAAGAUGGUUAUAUUCUUGUGAACGGAGUUUGCAGACCAGAAUUUUAUAAAGUAGCAAGUACGGAUGCUGACAUUUUAAACAUUGUCACUGUUCCUUGCCAAGAUGGAUGGAUUCUUGUAAAUGGAGUUUGCAGACCAGAAUUUAAUAAAGUGUAAUAGGUAAAAAUGGGAAAGGUUCGUUUUAAGUUUUGAAGAUGAUGUUAAUUGAUUAAGAAUAAGAAGAUGAUAUAAUUAUUAAAAUGUAUUUAAAUUGUUAAAGUUGUCAAUAAAUUGGAUAAAAUUGAAUUUAUAAGUUAA